rnacentral:rRNA from 1 species
UACGUAGGGUGCGAGCGUUGUCCGGAAUUAUUGGGCGUAAAGAGCUCGUGGGCGGUGUGUCACGUCGGCCGUGAAAACCUGCAGCUUAACUGUGGGCGUGCGGUCGAUACGGGCAUCACUGGAGUUCGGCAGGGGAGACUGGAAUUCCUGGUGUAGCGGUGAAAUGCGCAGAUAUCAGGAGGAACACCGGUGGCGAAGGCGGGUCUCUGGGCCGAUACUGACGCUGAGGCACGAAAGCGUGGGGAGCAAACAGG